AUGGACAUGAGGGUCCCCGCUCAGUUCCUUGGGCUCCUGCUGCUCUGGCUCCCAGGUGCCAGAUGUGAUAACCAGAUGACCCAGUCUCCACCUUCCUUGUCUGCAUCUGUAGGAGACAGAGUCAAUAUCACUUGCCGGGAGAGUCAGAGCAUUGGUAGUAGUUUAGCCUGGUAUCAGCAGAAACCAGGGAAAGCCCCUAAGCUCCUGAUCUAUGCUGCAUCCAGUUUGCAAAGUGAGAUUCCCUCUCGGUUCAGCGGCAGUGGAUCUGGGACAGAUUUCACUCUCACCAUCAGCAGCCUGCAGCCUGAAGACAGCAGUGAUCACCACUGCAGUGAGUAUUACUUCAGCACAGGCUGACACAGAGAACAGUUAUACUUAUUGGACAUAUUUCCCUUUUCCACCACUUCUACAGUCUGUAAUUUGGCUGGACCCCCCAGUGGAGGUAUAUACUAAUGAUAGCUCUUGGAUGCUUGGUCCUACAGAUGAUAGAGGCCCAUCUCACCCACAUAAGGAAGGAACUGCUAUGAAUAUUUCUUUAGGAUUAGAACAUCCGCCUAUCUCUUUUGGAAAGUUCACUAGUUGCCUACCCCCUUGCUAUCAAUCUUGGCUGACGAUAAUGCCUGGAUGUAAUCACUCUAUGACCCAGUUAUACAUGCUUUCUGCUCUCAGUAUUUACCGUAAUGAAUCUGCUCCUAUAAUUGAGGCAUACCACCCUCAAACACCUGUUUGUAAACAGGAUUGGACCUGGUCAGAAAAAAAUGAACGUACUUGUUUAGGAAGAUUGCA